rnacentral:rRNA from 1 species
CCUACGGGAGGCAGCAGUAGGGAAUAUUGGGCAAUGGAUGCAAGUCUGACCCAGCCAUGCCGCGUGCCGGAUGAAGGCCCUCAGGGUUGUAAACGGCUUUUAUUCGGGAAGAAGAGCACGGAUGCGUCUGUGUGUGACGGUACCGAAUGAAUAAGCACCGGCUAACUCCGUGCCAGCAGCCGCGGUAAU